GACGAACGCUGGCGGCGUGCUUAACACAUGCAAGUCGAGCGGUAAGGCCCUUUUGGGGGUACACGAGCGGCGAACGGGUGAGUAACACGUGGGUGACCUGCCCUCAGCUCUGGGAUAAGCCUGGGAAACUGGGUCUAAUACUGGAUAUGACCUUUCCUCGCAUGGGGGUUGGGUGGAAAGUUUUUCGGCUGGGGAGUGGGCCCGCGGCCUAUCAGCUUGUUGGUGGGGUGAG
rnacentral:rRNA from 1 species